rnacentral:tRNA from 1 species
GCCCAGAUGGCGGAAUUGGUAGACGCGCUAGCUUCAGGUGCUAGUGGCCUUUUGGCUGUGGAAGUUCGAGUCUUCUUCUGGGCACCA